GACGAACGCUGGCGGCGUGCUUAACACAUGCAAGUCUAACGGAAAGGCUCUGCUUUCCUUGCACUCGAGUGGCGAACUGGUGAAGAACACGUGGGUGAUUUGCCGUUCACUUCGGGUUUAGCUUGGGCAAUUGGUACUAAUACCGGACAGUAGCCCUUUUUUGUGUUAUUGUUGGUAAGUUUUGUCGGUGUAGGAUGAGCUCGCUUCCUAUCAGCUUGUUGUUGGGGUAAUGGCUUACCGAUGCGGCGAUGGGUGGCCGGCCUGAGAGGGUGUACGGCCACAUUGGGACCGAGAUGCGGCCCAGGCUCCUACGGGAGGCAGCAGUGGGGCAUAUUGCACAAUGGGCGCAAGCCUGAUGCAGCGCCGCCGCGUGGGGGAUGACGGCCUUCGGGUUGUAAACUACUUUCGCUAGGGACGAAGCUUUUUGUGACGGUACCUAGAUAAGAAGCACCGGCUAACUACGUG
rnacentral:rRNA from 1 species